rnacentral:rRNA from 1 species
AACGAACGCUGGCGGCAUGCCUAACACAUGCAAGUCGAGCGAGACCUUCGGGUCUAGUGGCGCACGGGUGCGUAACGCGUGGGAACCUGCCCUUAGGUUCGGAAUAACUCCCCGAAAGGGGUGCUAAUACCGGAUAAUGUCUUCGGACCAAAGAUUUAUCGCCUUUGGAUGGGCCCGCGUUGGAUUAGCUAGUUGGUAGGGUAAAAGCCUACCAAGGCGACGAUCCAUGGUCUGAGAGGAUGAUCAGCCACACUGGGACUGAGACACGGCCCAGACUCCUACGGGAGGCAGCAGUGGGGAAUAUUGGACAAUGGGCGAAAGCCUGAUCCAGCAAUGCCGCGUGAGUGAUGAAGGCCUUAGGGUUGUAAAGCUCUUUUACCCGGGAUGAUAAUGACAGUACCGGGAGAAUAAGCUCCGGCUAACUCCGUG